AAUAUACCACUCAAGCGAGGUUAGCGGGGAACAAUGGAAAAGAUAAAAAGUAGGGUAGUUUUGCAAUAUUUUUUCAUGUAUUGUAAAUAUAGAAUUCUUUUUUCAAUAUAAGUCAAACAAAAAACAUUUGCAGCUGAAAUUGUGUCGAUCUUGCAGCUACCGCUUUUUUUAUAGCGACAACAUCUUUGUAGCAUCCAACAAACUUUUGAACAGAGGGAUUAAUCUUUUUGUGCCAUCAACCUUUUAGCUUCAUUGGUUUCCUAUCUUGAAAAUUCUUGUCGUGAUGGUUAUUAUAAGCUUCAUCAAUUCUCUUCCAAAAACUGUCCUUUUUGAUCAUUUUUAACAUUCGGAUCCUUUGAAAUAUUGAGUCAUAAUUGAAUGGGAAGUCCAUCCUCCUUUCGUUGAAAUCUUACUUUCGAAUUAUUCACAAUCGAUAUAGUUUCAAUUUCUUUAUUAAGGUUAAUAGUUUCAAAGCCACCUUGAGUGCAAACAUGUGGUAUUUCAAGCUCUUGAUCUUUUAAUUGCACACCACCACUACCCAUUUGAAUCACAUGAGGCAUAUUGAGAUUAUUUGAUUUAGAAGAAAAUUCUUGAUGGGAUAAGGUGAUGUAUGAUAUGGGUAAUUUCAAAGUCUUGAUUAUUUUGUGUAUUUAGGACAUUGGAUGCAUUUUCAAAGGAUGAGACAUUUUGUUGACUUGAGAUACAUGGAGAAUUGCUAAAUUUUGCAUUAAAUUGACCAAAAAUCACGAUGAUUGGGGUUUAUUUGCAAAUAAAAUGUA
rnacentral:lncRNA from 1 species